GGAAGGAUCAUUGACAAAUCUAAAACAACAACUGCUCUCUUCUCCCUGUUUGUGGGGGGAAGAAGCAGAACUUCUACCUGUGAAUUGGCAGUCUCGCAAGAGCUGUUUGCGUUUGGUGUUGGGUUGCUUCUCGGUAACUUCAGCCAAACUGCACACACACAUAAACGUCUAACAAAAUUGUCUAAGCAUUUGCAUAAAACAAAAACAACUUUUAGCAAUGGAUCUCUUGGCUUCUGUAACGAUGAAGAACGCAGUGAAAUGCGAUAAUUAAUGUGAAUUGCAUUAUCUCGUGAAUCAUCGAGUCUUCGAACGCAUCUUGCACUUUCAGGUCUCCUGGAAAGUAUACUUGUUUGAGUAUCAUAAACAUCUCUCAAAGAAACAAACCUUUUUGGCUUUUUGGAAAUGAGACGUCAGAGAGCCUGUCUAUUUUGUGUCUUUUAAUGUAUAUGUGGCGCGAUUUCAUCCUUGUGGUGAAUGCCCAACUACCAAAUGUGAGAUAAAUAUCGCACAAAGAGGUGUUGGGUCAAGCGUUGCUACCUCAGUGUCUGUUGUCUGUCUGUCUGUCUGUCUGUCUUUUGAUAGGUAGGUAGGUAGGUAGAUAUAUGGGUACAACCUCGAGUCAUUGAUCUCAAAUCAAGUAAGAUUACCCGCUGAACUUAAGCAUAUCAGUAAGCGGAGGAAAGAAACUAACAAGGAUUCCCCUAGUAACGGCGAGUGAAGAGGGAUGAGCUCAAAUUUAAAAUCUGUAAGGUUUCCUUACCGAAUUGUAAUUUAUAGAAGUGUUUUCUUGAUGCGGCAACUGGUAUAAGUCUCUUGAAAAGAGCAUCAAAGAGGGUGACAAUCCCGUAUUUGGCCUAUUGCCUGUAUUUAUAUGAUACACUCUCUAAGAGUCGGAUUGUUUGGGAAUGCAGUCCUAAAUGGGUGGUAAAUUUCAUCUAAGGCUAAAUAUAGACAGAAGACCGAUAGCGAACAAGUACCGUGAGGGAAAGAUGAAAAGAACUUUGAAAAGAGAGUUAAAAGUACGUGAAAUUGCUAAAAGGGAAACGAUCAAAGUCAGUAUUGCUUUGAGAGGCUCAGCUAGUUUUAGUGGAAUCAGCCGUCGACUGAGUGUAAAAGCCAGUAGUCUAGGUUGCCUGACAUGGGAGCUAGCGCAUUCCUCUCAAGCAAGUCAACAUCAGUUUUGCCCGCUGGAUAGAUUUAGAGGAAGAUGGGUACUGUCUUCGAUGAUAUCUUUAUAGACUCUAGGUUGAGACAGUGAGUGAGACUGAGGACUGCAAUCUAAAACCGCAAGGUUGGGACUAACAAGUCUAGUAUGCAACUCGGAGUAUGCCUGCACGCAGGAGUCCUACUAGUUGCAUCCUAUAACUUGAGCGUCACCAUUAGAUUUAGGAUGUUGACGAAAUGGCUUUGACCGACCCGUCUUGAAACACGGACCAAGGAGUCUAACAAUUAUGCGAGUGUUUGAGUGUUAAACUCAAGCGCGCAACGAAAGUGAUUUUAAUGGGACUCUUCACGGAUGCACCAUUAGCCGGUCUGGAUUUCUUGAGAGAUUGAGCAAGAGCAUAGCUGUUAGGACCCGAAAGAUGGUGAACUAUGCCUGAAUAGGGUGAAGUCAGAGGAAACUCUGAUGGAAGCUCGUAGCGGUUCUGACGUGCAAAUCGAUCGUCAAAUUUGGGUAUAGGGGCGAAAGACUAAUCGAACCAUCUAGUAGCUGGUUCCCUC
rnacentral:misc_RNA from 1 species